UACGUAGGGUGCAAGCGUUGUCCGGAAUUAUUGGGCGUAAAGAGCUCGUAGGCGGUCUGUCACGUCGGCUGUGAAAUCCCGAGGCUCAACCUCGGGUCUGCAGUCGAUACGGGCAAACUAGAGUAUUGCAGGGGAGACUGGAAUUCCUGGUGUAGCGGUAGAAAUGCGCAGAUAUCAGGAAGAACACCCGUGGCGAAGGCGGUUCUCUGGGACGGUACUGACGCUGAGACGCGAAAGCGUGGGGAGCGAACAGG
rnacentral:rRNA from 1 species